UUUUGAGAGCUUGCUCUUAAAACUUAGUGGCGGACGGGUGAGUAACACGUGAGCAACCUGCCUUUCAGAGAGGGAUAGCUUCUGGAAACGGAUGGUAAUACCUCAUAAUAUACGUUUGCGGCAUCGCAGAUGUAUCAAAGAUUUAUCGCUGAAAGAUGGGCUCGCGUCUGAUUAGCUGGUUGGUGAGGUAACGGCCCACCAAGGCAACAAUCAGUAGCCGGACUGAGAGGUUGAACGGCCACAUUGGGACUGAGACACGGCCCAGACUCCUACGGGAGGCAGCAGUGGGGAAUAUUGCGCAAUGGGGGAAACCCUGACGCAGCAACGCCGCGUGAGUGAUGAAGGCCUUCGGGUCGUAAAGCUCUUUUAGUGGGGAAGAAUCCCACCCGGGCUAAUAUCUCGGGUGGAUGACGGUACCCACAGAAAAAGUUCCGGCUAACUACGUGCCAGCAGCCGCGGUAAUACGUAGGGAGCAAGCGUUGUUCGGAAUUAUUGGGCGUAAAGAGCGCGUAGGCGGUUCGGUAAGUCUGACGUGAAAUCCCGGAGCUUAACUCCGGAACUGCGUUGGAUACUGCCGGGCUUGAGUGUGGGAGAGGAGAGUGGAAUUCCCAGUGUAGAGGUGAAAUUCGUAGAUAUUGGGAGGAACACCCGUGGCGAAGGCGGCUCUCUGGACCACAACUGACGCUGAGGCGCGAAAGCUAGGGUAGCAAACGGGAUUAGAUACCCCGGUAGUCCUAGCCGUAAACGAUGGGCACUAGGUGUUGGAGGUAUCGACCCCUCCAGUGCCGCAGCUAACGCAUU
rnacentral:rRNA from 1 species